GAAGAUUGGUUCCCCUGUUGUUUUGGAUGCCUUGGAUGCUGGAUGUUUUAUUGUUUUUUUGGAAUGUUUGUAAUUUGUGGCAGUCCUUACUGAUGCCUUGAUGUAAUAUCUGGGCUCUUAAUGAGUUCCAUGGAUUUCUAAUUAUCUCAGCUAUUACAGCUGUGUAUAAUUAUGGUUUGUAUCUGCUAACAUUUAUGUUUUAACAUUUUAUAUGUUAUAACAUCUGUUGUGACAUUCUCUGCUAGGCUAAUUGACAUUUAUUUUGUCUAAUUGGUCACCUUUGG
rnacentral:lncRNA from 1 species